rnacentral:rRNA from 1 species
GACAGAGGGUGCAAACGUUGUUCGGAAUUACUGGGCGUAAAGCGCGCGCAGGCGGUUCUCCAAGUCAGUGGUGGAAGCCCGGAGCUCAACUCCGGAACUGCCAUUGAAACUGUUGAACUUGAGGACGAGAGAGGUGAGUGGAAUUCCCAGUGUAGAGGUGAAAUUCGUAGAUAUUGGGAAGAACACCAGUGGCGAAGGCGGCUCACUGGCUCGUAUCUGACGCUCAGGCGCGAUAGCGUGGGGAUCAAACAGG